GGUGGGGUUUGAUAUUUGGAUUUAGUGACCCUAUCAUGUAUCGUUCCAUUUGACGAUUAAUAAAGAGUGUUCUAUUUUGUUUACCAUUAUGUUUUAUACUAUAUUUUUUGUUCCAUUAUAUAUGGGUUUAGGGUCUAUACUUGGGUUUAGGGUCUAUAUUUGGAUUUAGUGAUUAAGAUUUAGGGUUUAGCGAUUAGCAAUUAGGUUUUAGUAUUUGGAAGGUGGGGACUGAAGUUUGGGUUUAGUGAUAACUGUUUAGGGUUUAGUAUUCAAAAGUUAGGUAUGAGUUUAACAUUUAAGAGUUGUGUGUUGGGUUAGUCAUAUACUAUUUCUCAUAUGAAAUGAAACCAUCCUUUUAUUUUUCAUUAUGCACUAAAUUCAUUUCAGUUUCUACACCGUUAAUUCAUUUAUUUAUUUCAUGAAACCACAUCACUAAUCUAAUUUAAAAUUGUAUGUGGUAAUAAACACAAGUUACGUGUAUGUCAUCCAUAUCUCUCAUUCUGAACAGUUAUCUAUUAAAGUG
rnacentral:lncRNA from 1 species